rnacentral:snRNA from 1 species
GUGCUUGCUUCGGCAGCACAUAUGCUAAAAUUAGAAUGAUACAGAGAUUAGCGUGGCCCCUGCGCAAGGAUGACACACAGAUUCGUGAAGCAUUCUUAGUUUUU